ensembl:lncRNA
UGUGUGUGGACUGUAACUGUGUGUGGACUGUAACUGUGUGUGUGGACUGUAACUGUGUGUGGACUGUAACUGUAACUGUGUGUGGACUGUAACUGUAAGUGUGUGUGGACUGUAACUGUGUGUGGACUGUAACUGUGUGUGUGGACUGUAACUGUGUGUGACUGUAAGUGUGUGUGGACUGUAAGUGUGUGUGGACUGUAAGUGUGUGUGGACUGUAACUGUGUGUGGACUGUAAGUGUGUGUGGGCUGUAACUGUGUGUGGACUGUACUUGUGUGUGGACUGUAAUUGUGUGUGGACUGUAAGUGUGUGUGGACUGUAACUGUGUGUGGACUGUAAGUGUGUGUGGGCUGUAACUGUGUGUGGACUGUAAGUGUGUGUGGACUGUAACUGUGUGUGGACUGUAAGUGUGUGUGGACUGUAAUUGUGUGUGGACUGUAAGUGUGUGUGGACUGUAAGUGUGUGUGGGCGUCACAACUCAGCCACAUGUGGAUAUAUAAUGUUGCUUGUUUAUGUUUUGUGUGAUCUUUUCUCCUUUUGGAGCGGUCAGGAACGAGUAUUUCGGGGAUGUAUAUCACAUAUCCAGCGUUGCCAUGCGUUGAGUUUUGGUAACUGCCACUGGGAUCGCCUAGUGCAACUUGAGGAUAGAAGUAUCGGGCAUGGAGUUGUUGUUUGCUGUGUGGUGUGUGUGUGUGUGUGUGUGUGUGUGUGUGAAAACGAUCCCCUCCGGGGUUGCGUGAUACGCCCUGACGACAAGCAGAGAAGCCUGGAUUAUCGUUGAUCACGCGCUCUGUUUGUAUCUUAUGUACAUCCAGAAGAUUUAAAAAACCUCAUCCAGAGCCCGUCAGGUUUCCGAGUCGAACUGAUGAGCUGUGUUUGUCUUUAAAACUUUCAGCUGUCGUUGCGAUUUGAUUUUCCACUCAAAAGGAUUUAUCGAGCUGGAAAAUCCAGAUGUCUGGUAUGCAAAACAGCGCUUGUAGUAGGUUUGAAAGCGACUUGAGACGGUUUUUACACUUGAAAGUGUAAUAAGAGACCCGGUCCGUAUUGGUACUCAAUAACAGUCUAGAAUCGUACAUAAGAACGUGAUUUGAGACGCAGUACUAGUUUGUGUAGCGGAGGUAGAUGGACGGGGAAAUUUGUCCGUUUUUAUUGCUGAACUACGCCAGUGCGGCGAGUCAUUACGGUGAAAAAUACUCAAAUAACACGCGCCCUAUUCAUUAAAAUGUAGCGUGUCUGAACUCCCAGUAACGUGAAAAUAUUGGCACGCGAAAUCUGUUUACGAUAUUUCUAAUGUUAAAGAUAUUUCUAAUAAUAAACCGAAGAGGACGUCGUGAGAUUCUCUCGCAACCCCGUUUGUAAAUCGAGUGAACCCGCACGGGGUCGCGACCCCUCGUUUGGGAAACCCUGCCUCUGGCGUGUUAUUCUUCCCAGCUACCGUAGGCCGGCGUUUUUCCUUUGUCCUGUCGCACUGUAGAGUCUUUGUACUGCGUCUUACACUUAAUUGACCGAAACGAAACCGGGGAGACAACAAAUGCUUAUUCAGUUCAAACAAACCUAUUCAAACAAAUCUUCCUUGUCUUGUUUGCCCUGCAGAGGAAAAGAAGUGAGCGCUCGAGUGUAUGAGCACACCGAUUUGUUUGGAUUUAUAUGAAAGGAGCAGAUGAUGAUGAGUGUAAACUGGGACUCCAGG